CUUCCCGGUGUCCUUGAGCGCGAUGGCCGUUUCGCGGUCGGACGCCGCGGGGUUGCAGCGGCUCGCCGUCUCGGACUCCGGCAGCACAUAGGUGGCGGCCACGGCCAGUGCACCUGUGACCCACAGUAAAAGAACCACAUGGUAAACAGCCAAAGAGGAAACCAGGAAGAAAAGGGGACCUUGGUAAUUCAGAGCUCAGACAGUCAGCUUGUGAAUAGCUGAAAGCUGAUGCAGUUUUCACCAGCGAUUUGAGGAUCAAAUAAUUCCAUAUUUGACAACUGAAUGGCAUUUGAGGUUUUUGUUAAGGACUUGCUGGAUCCUUGACAGCCUCUCCUGGCAUUCUUGUCUUAUCAGAUGUGGACAUCUCCGACACAGGCAAGAUAAAUUCCCAUCCUCAGCCGAGAGAAGCAGUUGGCCUGCUCACUGCAUCUCUGAAAAUGGAUGAGUGGCUAGGCCAGGUCCCUCUGGAAGGGCAACUUUGUGCCCAAUAAAAUACAA